UGGAGAUGGGCACCCCGUGUGGCUUGUGGCCCUAACUCAGAGAAGGUGGAGCAGGGCAAAGCAAGCCCAACUGAAGGCCUAGAACACACUGGUGGGAGGGAGGGGUUCUGGGCUAAGCUACAGGAAUGAUGGGGAGAAGGGAGUCUUGGGGGAAAGACUGUAUGCCGAGAAGAUGGGACAUGUGUGAUGUAGGGAUGGUGAAAGGCAGCCCCAAGCCUUUAAAACUUCUGACUGGGAGUUUUCCAGGGAGGAGGAGGAGUGUGUGGUCAUUUCCCACAUGACAGGAAGUCAGGACCGCAGCCAGCUGCUGCGUCUGCAGGGUGGAGAGCAGACAGGAGGAGGCCAGGAGCCCUGGGCUCUGGGCUGCCGGAGGAGCUGCAAGUAAAGCCUCCACAUUGAAAAAAAAGAAAAGAUGGAGACACAGGCGACAGCCAGGUGACCAGAGGCAGAGUGAAGUGAUGGUGAUACGCGGUGGGGAAGGUCCCCUGACAUCCCUAAGGGACCACCACACCUGCUCAGUUGACAACCCGACCACAAACUUCCAGCCUCUGGAACUGCAGAACAGGAAAUUAAAUAGAAGAAGCAGGUGCUGACACCCUGUAAAUUUAGACUAUGGAGUUUCCCCAUGGUCCCACAGCACACCGCAGAAGCAGCAGGGGCUUCUGUGAAGGACGCCUAAGGACCCCUGCUGUCCAGACAAGAGUCACCUGCCCCCCUGGACGACAACCCUGAGGACUGAAGACCUGCACUGGACAAGUGCUUUACCUGUUUUGUCCUGUCAGCAGCCCAUGAGGGAGGUCCUUUUAUCAUUUUCAUAUAACAGGAAACUGAGGUGUAGACAAGUACUCAAGAUUGAACAUGGGACCUUUGUACUGAGCUACAUCCCUAGCCCUUUUUUAUUUUUUCAUUUUUGAGACAGGGUCUCCUGCGUCAGCCUCCCAGAGUGUUGGGAUUACAGGUAUGGGCCACCCCACUCAGCUUCACUUUACAGAUGAGGCUAAAGACAGGGACACAGGCAGGUGCUCAAGGACAGGACAGGACAGAAGCCAGUUCUUCACUGCUUUGCUGUGCAGUCUGGAGGAAAGAUCUUCUCAGUGUGUUCUCUGUCACCUGAAUCAGAAACGAAUGCUGGGCCCAGGAGAAACCGCUGCUUCUCCUGGGGACCAGACACUGCCCCAGGAUCUGGAUGGCUCCUGGAUGGUCCGUGUCUCCUCUGUGUUCACACAAGCAUUGCUCACAAAGCACGGUGGUGUUGGAUCAUUUGCAGAUGGAGGCUGGGGCUUUGCUCAGCCUGGUUCCACCAAGGAACUGUGGCGGGUAGAGCGUCUGCCCUGGCCGAGAGCUCUUCAGGGGACAAAGCUCCGAUGCAGCCAGUGCUGCAUUGCACCCAGGCUGGCCCGCCCCUUCCCACCCAGCCAACUGUGCUCUGUGGACACAGGACCUUGCCAAGGGCUGCAGACUCGGCUCUCCCCUCCCCACUCCCCUUCUGUGGGGACUGGGACUUCCCUCUCCUGCCCCAAGAUGUGUGGGGGGACCUGUUAGAAAGGUGCUGCAUCAGAACCUGCAGGUAUAGCAAGUCCCCAGGGGAGUCGGACACCCUCUGCAGUUGGAGAAGUGUUGGCCCAGACAAUGUGGCCUCAUAGGGGCCCUUCCCCCUGAGCUCUGGGGCAACUCCCACAGUGCUCCUUCUCCUUUCCACCUGAGCAGCAGGUGUCAGAGCAAAUGUGGGUGCCUGCAGCCUCAUCGACUGCUCCUUGCCCUGCUGGGCCGGGCCUGGAGAGUGGGGGUGUGACAGGGCAAGCAGAAGGCGAGCAGCUCUGUGACAGAUGGUGGCAGGCUGCUGUCUUUCUAACUGCACGGGACUGUGCUUCAGGUAUAUCUGAUGGCUAAAACGGCUUCUAAAAUGGCCUGAAAUAUAGGUCUUUUUUAUAACUCACUAUGGAAAAGGUAUUCUGGGUCCAAAUUAACUAUAAGUAAACUUUUGAUUCCCAAUCUGCCUGUAGGUGGGGAGUUCCUAUACUUAAAAAUUUAAUAUGUGCAUGGUUCCCUUAUCCUCCUACAGUGACUGUUCUAGAAGGGGGCUAACAGUUUCCUCUGGUUACUACAGUGGCAGUAUAUAGCUGAGGACACACCAGAAAAAAAACCAUGCUUAGGCUUUCUAGUGCCCAAACUUCUAACACAAAGGGUACUACAGGUAGGGCAAGAGGGAAUCAUUCAUAUAUUUUCCCAGUUGCCUGGUGUGACCAUUAAUCCUGAUUUGACAACUUUACAAGAUAAAGAAAUCCCCAGCAGAUUAGUGGAGCAUGAUCCUGGGUAUGCCAGGCUGGGUCAUGGGGACAUGGCCUUGGGUACUAUAUCUGAUCCUAGACCCUACAGUGAUUUCUUUGGCUAAAUGCAUUUUUGAGGUGGCAUUUUAAGCCAUUUUAGAGGGCAUCUUAAGAUAUCUUUAUAAUCUGUGUGGGGCUAUGGAUUUGGAGAAAAGAACAGUAUUUAUUAAGAGGAAGAAAUGAAUGAUCAUAUUCAGCUAUACCAAUACUUCCCAGUCUCUUAACUUUCUGGGUCAAAGCAUCAUUUACUAGUAAUGUAACUGUUUACUUAUGUGGAGCUGCGGCUCCUGAGGCUGCCACACAAUCUGCUCUAGGGAAGAAUUCAGGAUCAGGCAGGGAGAGUUUAAUUUCUCUUGAGGAGAAAAAGCGUAGGACCCUGAAGGCAGUGUAUUUAGGGCUACCUGACAAAGCCACCAGUGGAAGAAUCUAUUGUAGAAAACCCAACUGUUGCAUAUGUUUGUUCACAUGCUAUUUCUACAGACCUGAAGAUUCUCUCCCUGUGACUUUUAGCUGAUGAAAGGCCCAAAAUGACAAAGGCAGGGUGCGACUUGUUUCCCAGAGUCAGAUCUACCCGCUGCUGUGAAUUAGAACAUACAUCUUUUGGUCAUUCUAAUUAUGUCGCAAAACUGGGAGUGAAAACGUUAAGUGAAGGAAGUGUGAGAAGGCUUUCCUUCAUUUUCCACUUAUUUCUUUUAAAUGGGAUAAAAAAAUGAGUUUAAUCAGAAAACACCCACAUUCUUUUCUGAUGAUGCAGUUAUUACUUCCAAGAGUCAGGACUACUUAUUUGGGAUAAACAGACCAGACAAGAAACCACACAGAAUCCAGAGAGACUCCCUGACCUGGGAAUAAACAGCUAUCUCUAAUAAGUCUACUUUAAAAAUAAAACUAUUUCUGCUGAGCAAACACAAUGUGGGAUUAUAUUAACAAGUCUGUAUACAUUUCACAUCAAAUUCUCUACCAAUAAAAUACUAGUGCCCAGGGAUUGUAACCCCCACAUAGGACUCUACAGCACUAAAGGAAAAAAAACCCAGAGAGCCCCGGGGAUCUGACAUCUGGCCACACGCCCAGGUCACUGGGCCCUGUGUUGACUUUAUCUGUGUGCCUUCUGUAGGGGCCUCCUGCUUAAGAUAACGAAGGAGUUGGGCUGGGGAUUUAGCUCAGUGGUUUCGCCGCCUGCUGUGCAAGAGCAAGGACCGGAGUUCGAGCCCCAGUACCAAAAAAACAAGAACAAAAAUGAAGGAGCCACUAAAUUGUGCCUACUUGUCAUUGGGCAUUAAUGGAUUUUUUUGAAAAGGCCAAAAACCAUGGGCCCUUUCUGACCCUA